GACGAACGCUGGCGGCGUGCUUAACACAUGCAAGUCGAACGGAAAGGCCCUGCUUUUGUGGGGUGCUCGAGUGGCGAACGGGUGAGUAACACGUGAGUAACCUGCCCUUGACUUUGGGAUAACUUCAGGAAACUGGGGCUAAUACCGGAUAGGAGCUCCUGCUGCAUGGUGGGGGUUGGAAAGUUUCGGCGGUUGGGGAUGGACUCGCGGCUUAUCAGCUUGUUGGUGGGGUAGUGGCUUACCAAGGCUUUGACGGGUAGCCGGCCUGGGAGGGGGACCGGCCACAUUGGGACUGAGAUACGGCCCAGACUCCAACGGGAGGCAGCAGUGGAGAAUAUUGCACAAUGGGCGGAAGCCUGAUGCAGCAACGCCGCGUGCGGGAUGACGGCCUUCGGGUUGUAAACCGCUUUCGCCUGUGACGAAGCGUGAGUGACGGUAAUGGGUAAAGAAGCACCGGCUAACUACGUG
rnacentral:rRNA from 1 species